AAAUGAAACCCCAGUUUCAAAAUUGUCUUUCCUGACCCCUGACAUCGGAUACUUCAGAGGGCCCCUGGAAUGUCCAGAAAAGAGAGAACGCAAUUGGAAAAACUGGUCAUUUCACCAAGGCUUUGACUGGAAGGGUAUGCUUCCCUUUAAGGAGUCAAUCUCGACUUGCAGAGCCAAUAAAAGCCCAGUGGGGAGACUGGCCUCAUAACUUUGUCUAUGCAGUCCCUGUACAGGGUUCCUGAUGUGUGGUCAGUAAUGAUUGUCACUUUCUAACAGGUCCAGGAGCUCCAAGUUUAUCUUGGGACCUUAUGAGGAGAGGAUGACCCCACUCACAGGUAUUUGAGGAUACUAACCCAUGGCUGGGCUCAGUUUUAAAAUACCUUAUCUGAGACUCCUUGUGGAACAAAGUUCCAUCAAAGCCAAUCCAAAAGGCCUAUGUAGAAAUGAUUAUUCUUGCUGCACUUUAUGUAAAUAAUCAGGCCAAGUGUAAAACCAAAGUCUAUUUUUCAAACAACCCAGUCCCAUUAUGAUUUGUUUUUUUUAAACAAACAUGAGGACUGGAGAGAGUAAAAUUAUAUUCCAAACUUUCUCAUACAUUUGUCAUUAAAUUCUAAACUAACUAAUUGUUUUUAAGUUUUCUCCUACAUUUUAGACUAAUCCUGCUUGUUCCUGUGAACCAACCAGCAAUCUCUGGCUGCAGCUCAGAAAGAACAAAAGGGGAUGGGUAAUGUAGAAAUCCUGAUCAAUAUUCUAGUUCUGUGCAAUUAUCCUGCAAAUCUUGCCAGGUGAUGGAAUACAUAGGGAAUAAAUAGGAUCCCAUCACUCAGAGGUUUCCUUUUGGGGAAGUAAGACCAAGGGAGCUAACCAAAGCCAGACACCAUGCACCCAAAUCCUAGCAAGCAUAACUAUAGCUACCAGUUAUCUGGGGGUGUCAUAAGACAUCCUUUCUCACCCUCGGAGGAGGACUUAGUUCCACAGUUUCAUCAUAGCAUUUGGCUUAUGAUAAGGAGUCCACGCAACUUUCCCCGAGACACAUUUUUGUCCCAGACUCAAUUACAGGCUUUGGGUUAAAGCCCUAGAAAGAAAAUUGGAUAUAAAGGAUCCAGAGGCAGACAACAACAGAGGUUAAAAGGCACAGCACAGGGGAGCAUGGCUGAUUCCUGUUGAUUAAGCCAACCCCAAACUUCCUGUUUCAUGGAUAAAGGCCACAUUAAUAUCCAUGGUGUAAAUGAGGUCUAGGGCACUCCAAGGCUACUGACAGUAGCAGUGAUAGAGGCAUAGGUGAGAGCAGAUAAUUCCUAUUCUCUAGGCCUUCCCUGCUUCAUGUGUGCAAGCUGCUUUGGCACUCAUGGCGGGACCUGCCUAGGUCACAGGGACUUGGAGAUGCAAGGAUGGAAGAGGAAAAGAGGACACUCUUCCUUUUCUCCCUCAUGUACCCCAGGUAUCUGCUAGGAAGAAAAGGGAGCCAGGGAUGCCUGCUCCCCUCUUUCUAGAUGGGUAGCUAUUAAUCUUCAGUAUGUACCCCUUUUGAAUACAUCCUGAACCCCGGGGACUCCCUUAAAAAAAUGCCUUUUUGAGCUUACCCUUCCUAUUGUUUUGUUUUGAUACAUGUUUUCUAAUAACCCGGUUUGUCUGUUCUUAGACCAUCAAACUCCAAAUGGUCAUGCAACCAGAGCCUCUGACGAUGGCCCCUUCUGCUGGGAACCCUUAAAUAGGCCUCUGAGGAAGCUCUGACUGCCAUUUCCCCAAAAGCUCUGACUGCCGUUUCCCUGUCAGCAGGAAGCAGUUAAGUUUAGUCUUCAUCUUUAUCCUUAUUCUCAUGGCAGUUAGAUAUACUUUUUUAGAGCGGGGAAUGAGACAGCCAGGUGGGAGGGGGUCCCUGGAAAAAUUCUAACUGCACCGGGGUGGGGACUCAGGAAGUUCACGCAUUUUGCAGCUGGGAGGAGCGUGGCCCCUCCUCUUCCUGCAUGGAACCUGGGAUUCAAACAGGGGCUCUGGCCUUGCGGAAGAUCCCUGUUUCUCUCCUUCUUUUCCCUUUUCACCCAAUAAAACCCUGCCUUAAUCACACUUCAAACCAUUUGCUAGCCUAAAUUUUCAUGGCCAUGGGACAGACAAGGACUCAGUCUUUAGCUGAACUAAGGAAAUGUCCUGAAACAGUAAUAUGAAUGUAUACAUGUGAUAAAUGACAUAAAGCCAUAGUGUACAUAUUGUGCCAAUGUCAAAUUCCUAAUUUUGAUUUUGUGCUAUAAUUAUGUAAGGUAUAACCAUUGGGGAAAACUGGUAAGGGGUACGUGGAUCCCCUCUGCCCUACCUUUGAAACUCCCUGUGAAUCUAUUCUUUUUUUUUUUUUUUAAUUAUACUUUACGUUCUAGGGUACAUGUGCACAACAUGCAGGUUUGUUACAUAUGUAUGCAUGUGCCAUGUUGGUGUGCUGCACCAUUAACUCAUCAUUUACAUUAGGUAUAUCCCCUAAUGCUUUCCCUCCCCCCUCCCCCC
rnacentral:lncRNA from 1 species